rnacentral:rRNA from 1 species
UACAGGGGUCUCGAGCGUUAGGCGGAAUCACUGGGCUUAAAGCGUGUGUAGGUGGAUGCCUAAGUACCUUGUGAAAUCCCACGGCUUAACCGUGGAACUGCUUGGUAUACUGGUCGUCUUGAGCCAUCUAGGGGCUGUCGGAACAAAUGGUGGAGCGGUGAAAUGCGUAGAUAUCAUUUGGAACGCCAAAGGUGAAAACAGACAGCUGGGGAUGUGCUGACGCUGAGACACGAAAGCCAGGGGAGCGAACGGG